rnacentral:tRNA from 1 species
GCGGGUAUAGCACAAUGGCAGUGCGUCUGCCUUCCAAGCAGAAUACACGGGUUCGACUCCCGUUACCCGCUCCA